rnacentral:misc_RNA from 1 species
ACCAUCAGCAACAGGUACAACAUGAGUAGCCCCAUCUCCAACAUCCACCACAACCCCUGUCAUCUCACACUUGGAUGCUGUGUAACCAGCUGCUAGAGCAAGCACCGAAUUGACCGCAAUAUAAAGCCCAGGAACAUUAAACGUCUCGAACAUAAUCUCACCGGUGUACUCGCGACUCUCCGGUGCAGUAAGUGGGCUCUCGGUCAAAAGAAAGUAAUGAUCCUCUGGAUCGCAUCGCAAAUAAUUGAAUACACACUCCUGCCAGUACCUUUCCAUGGCGUCCCAAUUGUCAACCUGACCAUGUUUGAUUGGAUAGCUAAGAUUAUAAGUAUUACUCGAUCUGGAUUUGACAAAAGCCUCUUCUCCAAUAAAGAAGUCUAGAUCGGCCAUAACCCCAGCGCUAUGCUGCGCAAGCCAAUUCGCUUUAGAAGUUCUAGAUUGAUUAAGAAAAGAAUCGUUAACAGCAACUACAGUUGGUAAAAUAAAACACGGCUCUACAUUUCCCGCAAAACCCAUUUUAGUAUACCCGGUGCCAUUGUCGAUGACGACAGCAGGGCGAGAGGUGGGGUCCAUGGGAAUGGGAGAGGAAGAGGAAGAGAAAACGGUGGUGGAGGAAUUGAAGAAGGAUCUGCGAGGGAGAUCC